AGGAGGGAGCGCGGAGCUUCGGAGAGCGAAGGCGCAGCCAGACAGUUGUCUACAUGCCAGGAAGCAAACAGACAGGGAGGAAAACCUGCUCACUGGCAUGAGGGAGACAGAGAAGGAGACAUGGAGGGAAGCCUCCUUUAUUUAUUUUUGGGUCAAAUUAGUCAUGAUUAGCGUCGGGGCCACUGAUAGUGACAGUUCCGUGGCAAACACACAUCUCUUGGCUCCUAUUUUUACUUGGGCCGGAGAAGAGCAGGAGGCCUGUGGUUUAUGGCCUUCCUGGCUUUUCACGCCGUCUCUUGUUGGAGCUUCACAACACCUGCCGCCACCUUCCCACCCCGCCCCAGGACGUGGGUAAGACAGCUUGUAGCUCCAAUCUCAGAUAUCAGAAGAAUGAGACCCAGGGACAGAAAGGACCCACUGCCCGCCAGGAUCCAGCCACAGGCCCAGGCACCAGUCUCAGGUGAUGGAAGCAAAAGAACCUAGGAGUGAGCAAGGCUCUCCAUGAUACAUACCAUGUAAUCGACCAACGAAUGCAAAUGAAAAUGACGUGUUAUUUCCAGGAAACGUCUUUAGAGAGAAAGCAUAUCUGACUUUCUCCCUUCGUCCCUCCUGCAUGACAGAAGGUAAAAAUGGGAUGGCUGGAGCUCCUGCAGCCUUCUUGAAGUAAGAGGAAGAAACCAUGACCCAAAGCUGGCAGGGCAACAAGAGAGAAGGAGCUGGGUCCCUGAUGCUCUGGAGCUCCAUACCUGCUCAUG